GGGGACUCUGAAACUCCCCUCCUCCAUGCAGCUCCCGCAGUCGAUCUGCUGUUCAGCCCCUCCCCAGAGAGGCCCGGCCCGGAUACCAUCUCCCCGGCUGGGAGCCCCAUCCUCUCUUCGCUGAGCUCCGCACCGACUGCUCUCCUUCACCACGGGCUUGAAGUUCAAUGACCUAAGCCACAACGUUGGUAUUCAAUGGUGAGAACUUCUGCAAAGGAGUCCGAAUCGCCGGUCCAUCCUGAGUACUGUCUGUCACAGGCAAAUUCUAAGAGGUUUUAGAGACUACACCUGUCUCCUGGCAGCCUGCCUGGCUAUCCUCUUUGUAAUAGUGAGUUCACAUGCACAAAAACGCGGGAUCAAAUCAGGGGUGUUAAGAGCACAAUGAAGAGUUGCUAAAUUACUCAAGAGGACUGCUCAGAUGGCAGAAGAGUUCAUCUGACUACAGGAAUCCAUUUCGACCUAAAGCAAACUCCUUCAAUAUAACCAAAUACAAUCUCUGUUUUCUUCUGGCUCUUUUACAUUAUUAAAAGAUUUUUUUUACUACCUAAGUGAAAAAUAUUGCAGUUCUCUACUUUCAGCUGUGCCUUUUUAAUCACAAUGCUCCACAAUAAUGACACUAAUUGUUUUAAAUUACCAUUCAAGUAAUGAGCAAUAACCAUAGGGUUUUUUCAGGCAAUAAACUAAAUUCGGCCCACGGCUAACUGCUCUGAGAUCAUCAACCCUGGAUUAUUUCUCACAAGCUCAAGUGGCUCACUAUUCUCCCAUUAGAGAGCAGCAACCCCAGAGAGUUGAU